GAUGAUGCCCAGCUUGCUGGGUGGAUUAGUGGCGAACGGGUGAGUAACACGUGAGUAACCUGCCCUUGACUUCGGGAUAACUCCGGGAAACCGGGGCUAAUACCGGAUAUGAGCUACCUUCGCAUGGGGGUGGUUGGAAAGUUUUUCGGUCAGGGAUGGGCUCGCGGCCUAUCAGCUUGUUGGUGGGGUGAUGGCCUACCAAGGCGACGACGGGUAGCCGGCCUGAGAGGGCGACCGGCCACACUGGGACUGAGACACGGCCCAGACUCCUACGGGAGGCAGCAGUGGGGAAUAUUGCACAAUGGGCGAAAGCCUGAUGCAGCGACGCCGCGUGAGGGAUGAAGGCCUUCGGGUUGUAAACCUCUUUCAGCAGGGAAGAAGCGCAAGUGACGGUACCUGCAGAAGAAGCGCCGGCUAACUACGUGCCAGCAGCCGCGGUAAUACGUAGGGCGCAAGCGUUGUCCGGAAUUAUUGGGCGUAAAGAGCUCGUAGGCGGUCUGUCGCGUCUGGUGUGAAAACUCGAGGCUCAACCUCGAGCUUGCAUCGGGUACGGGCAGACUAGAGUGCGGUAGGGGAGACUGGAAUUCCUGGUGUAGCGGUGGAAUGCGCAGAUAUCAGGAGGAACACCGAUGGCGAAGGCAGGUCUCUGGGCCGCAACUGACGCUGAGGAGCGAAAGCAUGGGGAGC
rnacentral:rRNA from 1 species